CAGAGCUCAGCCAUGCAGCUUCUCAGCUCUGUCAAAUCCACGUCCUCUAAUUUCACAACCAUGUCCCUUUCUUAGCGUAGUCAAACACAAACUAUUUAAGGCAGGGAUUCCCUAAGCAGGCAUGUUGCAUCUUAUGAGCUGGCUUUAUACUGGGUAUGCAGUCAUGCAGAACUUUGAUAAACCUUUGAGAUUAUUGGCUCAAGGUCAAGAUCACCUUUAAUUGAUGAGAGAGGUCAAGGGAAAAAAACAUUUAAAGGUUGUGGAAAGGCAGCUGGGGAGAGCAGGAAUGGAGAUGAGGCAGGAGCUCAUCAUCAACUGUGACACGAGGGAAGGUCCUGGGGACCAAGUACUCACCAACACCUACUGAAAUGCCCAGCUAGGGAUGUGUGUUAUCAUUCCAUCCGUCCUGUGGGAGUAAAAAUUGCUGCAUGCGUGGCUGCUGGGGAAAACUGCUUUAGAUUUUCCUUGCUUUCUAUCUCAUCCUGAUUUAAAUAAAAUAGGAAAGCUCGCACUGGGUUAAACAUUGUGGCUCUCACUAACAGAUUUUACAAUCUGAGCUCUGCACUUGGAGUGGCAAGACAGAGUGCUGACAACUCCUAUUCUUUGCCACAGAUCAGUAUGGGCUGCAGAAAAAAAAAAACACAUUAUCUGCCUGCCAACCCUGUGGGAAACGCGCAAGGGAAUUAUUCCAGACACUGCUCGUUUCUGCAAAUGGAAGGAGCGGAGCUUUCCUGACAAGACAGAAACGGAUGAGAACUCAAAGUUCACAAAAUGAUGAAGAGCAAU